rnacentral:rRNA from 1 species
GACGAACGCUGGCGGCGUGCCUAAUACAUGCAAGUAGAACGCUGAAGGAGGAGCUUGCUUCUCUGGAUGAGUUGCGAACGGGUGAGUAACGCGUAGGUAACCUGCCUGGUAGCGGGGGAUAACUAUUGGAAACGAUAGCUAAUACCGCAUAACAGUAGAUAUCGCAUGAUAUCUACUUGAAAGGUUCAAUUGCAUCACUACCAGAUGGAUCUGCGUUGUAUUAGCUAGUUGUUGAGGUAACGGCUCACCAAGGCGACGAUACAUAGCCGACCUGAGAGGGUGAUCGGCCACACUGGGACUGAGAGACGGCCCAGAAUCCUACGGGAGGGAGCAGUAGGGGAUCUUCGGCAAUGGACGGAAGGCUGAACGAGCAACGCCGCGUGAGUGAAGAAGGUUUUAGGGUCGUAAAGCUCUGUUGUAAGAGAAGAACGAGUGUGAGAGUGGAAAGUUCACACUGUGACGGUAUCUUAACAGAAAGGGACGGCUAACUACGUG